rnacentral:rRNA from 1 species
CGACCCGACCAUAGCGGCUGGGCAACACCCGGACUCGUCAGAUCCCGGAAGUUAAGCCAGCCGCGUUGAGCGUGGCUGUGGCUUCCGAAAGGGGCCGU